rnacentral:rRNA from 1 species
UACGUAGGGUGCGAGCGUUGUCCGGAUUUAUUGGGCGUAAAGAGCUCGUAGGCGGUUUGUCGCGUCGGCCGUGAAAUCUCCACGCUUAACGUGGAGCGUGCGGUCGAUACGGGCAGACUCGAGUCCGGAAGAGGAGUGUGGAAUUCCUGGUGUAGCGGUGAAAUGCGUAGAUAUCUGGAGGAACACCGGUGGCGAAGGCGGCAGCCUGGACCGGCAUUGACGCUGAGGCGCGAAAGCCAGGGGAGCAAACGGG